rnacentral:rRNA from 1 species
UACGUAGGGGGCUAGCGUUGUCCGGAAUCAUUGGGCGUAAAGCGCGUGUAGGCGGUCCGGUAAGUCCGCUGUGAAAGUCGGGGGCUCAACCCUCGAAUGCCGGUGGAUACUGUCGGGCUAGAGUGCGGAAGAGGCGAGUGGAAUUCCUGGUGUAGCGGUGGAAUGCGCAGAUAUCAGGAGGAACACCAACGGCGAAGGCAGCUCGCUGGGACGGUACUGACGCUAAGGCGCGAAAGCGUGGGGAGCGAACAGG